GACGAACGCUGGCGGCGUGCUUAACACAUGCAAGUCGAACGGAAAGGCCCUGCUUUUGUGGGGUGCUCGAGUGGCGAACGGGUGAGUAACACGUGAGUAACCUGCCCUUGACUUUGGGAUAACUUCAGGAAACUGGGGCUAAUACCGGAUAGGAGCUCCUGCUGCAUGGUGGGGGUUGGAAAGUUUCGGCGGUUGGGGAUGGACUCGCGGCUUAUCAGCUUGUUGGUGGGGUAGUGGCUUACCAAGGCUUUGACGGGUAGCCGGCCUGAGAGGGUGACCGGCCACAUUGGGACUGAGAUACGGCCCAGACUCCUACGGGAGGCAUCAGUGGGGAAUAUUGCACAAUGGGCGGAAGCCUGAUGCAGCAACGCCGCGUGCGGGAUAACGGCCUUCGGGUUGUAAACCGCUUUCGCCUGUGACGAAGCGUGAGUGACGGUAAUGGGUAAAGAAGCACCGGCUAACUACGUG
rnacentral:rRNA from 1 species